AUGAACAGUAUCUUUUGGAAUUGUAGAGGAGCAGGUACAAAAGGGAGGACUACCUGCUUCUCUGACAUCAUCAGAGAUCACUCCCUAGACUUUAUGGGUAGCCUAGAUACUAAGAAAGAAAACUUUACUCCUAAGUAUCUUAGGAAGAUUGACCCCUUUAAGAAACUUAGUUGGAAUUGGAUUCCUUCUAUAGGUAAAUCGGGUGGAAUUUUAUGUGGGAUCGAUCAAGAAAGAAACCUUAGAAAUAAUUUCAUGGACGGCAGGUAG
rnacentral:rRNA from 1 species